rnacentral:misc_RNA from 1 species
GAAAGUAAAAGUCGUAACAAGGUUUCCGUAGGUGAACCUGCGGAAGGAUCAUUAUUGUAUAACCGAGGUGCGAGGGCUGUCGCUGACCCGGAAGGUCGUGCACGCCCGAGUGCCCUCACACACAUCCAUCUCACCCCUAUGUGCACCACCGCGUGGGUCCCCCUUUGGCUUGUUCGGAGGGGGGCUUACGUUUUCACACAAACUUUGUAUGCAGUGUAGAAUGUAUUUUUUGUUUUUGCGAUCACGCAAUCAAUACAACUUUCAACAACGGAUCUCUUGGCUCUC